GAUGAACGCUAGCUACAGGCUUAACACAUGCAAGUCGCAGGACUGGCGCACGGGUGAGUAACGCGUAUCCAAUCUUCCCAUAACUACGGGAUAACCCGUUGAAAGACGGCCUAAUACCGUAUGGUUAUGGCUGGGGAUGCGUCUGAUUAGCUUGUUGGCGGGGUAACGGCCACCCAAGGCGACGAUCAGUAGGGGUUCUGAGAGGAAUGCCCGCCGCAAUGGAACUGAGACACGGUCCAAAAGACGACGGGAGGCAGCAGUGAGGAAUAUUGGUCAAUGGGCGAGAGCCUGAACCAGCCAAGUAGCGGGCAGGAUGACGGCGUAUGGGUUGUAAACUGCUUUUAUGUGGGGAUAGGUACCACAUGAAUAAGGACCGGCUAAUUCCGUGCCAGCAGCCGCGGUAAUUC
rnacentral:rRNA from 1 species